UACGUAGGUGGCAAGCGUUAUUCGGAAUCACUGGGCGUAAAGCGCAGGUAGGCGGUUUGAUAAGUCUGUUGUGAAAGCUCCCGGCUUAACUGGGAGAGGUCAACGGAAACUAUCAGGCUAGAGUGUGGUAGAGGAGGAUGGAAUUCCCGGUGUAGCGGUGAAAUGCGUAGAUAUCGGGAGGAAUACCUAUGGCGAAAGCAGUCUUCUGGACCAUCACUGACGCUGAUCUGCGAAAGCUAGGGGAGCAAACAGG
rnacentral:rRNA from 1 species